rnacentral:rRNA from 1 species
UACGUAGGUCCCGAGCGUUGCCCGGAUUUAUUGGGCGUAAAGCGAGCGCAGGUGGUUUAUUAAGUCUGGUGUAAAAGGCAGUGGCUCAACCAUUGUAUGCAUUGGAAACUGGUAGACUUGAGUGCAGGAGAGGAGAGUGGAAUUCCAUGUGUAGCGGUGAAAUGCGUAGAUAUAUGGAGGAACACCGGUGGCGAAAGCGGCUCUCUGGACUGUAACUGACACUGAGGCACGAAAGCGUGGGGAGCAAACAGG